rnacentral:snRNA from 1 species
AUGCCUUAAAUGAAUGAGUAAGGAAAAUAAAACAUGGUGUCCUUGCUCAUUCUCGCAAGAGUACAUUUUUGAAAGGGUACAGGUCUGUCUGUGAGGUGAUUCUCCU